CCAUCCCCUCCCCUCUAGGUGAACUCAUGAACCCUUAAAAGCCCCCAAACCCUUAUCUUUAUUUUAACAUUCACUAUUCAUCGAAACUCUCCAGUGAGUUUCCACCUCUUCCGGCAAAGGAAACUCACGAGGAAAUCUUCCCUAGUUUUCCGACGAAGACAGCCACUUUCGAGCCA